rnacentral:rRNA from 1 species
GACGAACGCUGGCGGCGUGCCUAACACAUGCAAGUCGAGCGAGGUCCAUCCGGUAGCAAUACCGGGGAAGACCUAGCGGCGAACGGGUGAGUAACACGUGAGAAACCUACCCCGAAGUCUGGGAUAAGUCGGGGAAACCCGGUCUAAUACCGGAUGCCCUCUGAGAACCGCAUGGUUCAUGGAGGAAAGUCUUUUCGCUUCGGGAGGGUCUCGCGGCCUAUCAGUUUGUUGGUGGGGUAAUGGCCUACCAAGACGACGACGGGUAGCUGGUCUGAGAGGAUGAUCAGCCACACUGGGACUGAGACACGGCCCAGACUCCUUCGGGAGGCAGCAGUGGGGAAUCUUGGACAAUGGGCGCAAGCCUGAUCCAGCCAUGCCGCGUGAGUGAAGAAGGCCUUCGGGUUGUAAAGCUCUUUCGGCCGGGAAGAAAUCGUAUGGGUUAAUACCCUGUGCGGAUGACGGUACCGGCAUAAGAAGCACCGGCUAACUACGUGCCAGCAGCCGCAGUAAAAC